CAACACAUCCACACAAGCUCCCAACUUGAGAGUGUCGAUGGGACACGUGUUCUUUGGUGGUGAUGGGGUUGGCACUGGUGUUGGUGGUGGUGGAGGAGGACAUGGUGUCUCAGUGGGUGGAGGAGGCUUAACUGGUACAACUGGGGUAGGUGUAGGUGUUGGUGGGCUUGGUGGUACAACAGGUGGUGAUGGUGGUGGCUUAACUGGUACAACUGGGGUAGGUGUUGGUGUUGGUGGGCUUGGUGGUACAACAGGUGGUGAUGGUGGUGGCUUAACUGGUACAACUGGGGGCUUGGGUACAUAGGGUGGUGGGGGUUGUACAACUGGGGGCUUGGGUACAUAUGGUGGUGGUGGUUGUACAACUGGGGGUUUGGGGAUGAAGGGUGGGUGCACAAUUGGGGGUUUAGGGAUAAAAGGUGGGUGCACGAUUGGGGGCUUGGGGAUGAAGGGUGGGUGCACAAUUGGGGGCUUGGGGAUGAAGGGUGGGUGCACAAUUGGGGGUUUAGGGAUGAAGGGUGGGUGCACAAUUGGGGGUUUAGGGAUGAAGGGUGGGUGCACAAUUGGGGGUUUAGGGAUGAAGGGUGGGUGCACAAUUGGGGGCUUGGGGAUGAAGGGUGGGUGCACAAUUGGGGGCUUGGGGUGGGGUGGUGGUUUGACAAUAGGAGGCUUGGGGAUGAAGGGAGGUCUCACAAUAGGUGGUUUGGGGACAGAAGGAGGUUUUGGUAUAUGGGGAGGAUAUACAAUGGGGGGUUUGGGGCCAUGAGGUGGCUUGGGUACAUGGGGUGGAUGAGGAUGAGGUGGCUUUGAUGGUGGCUUGGGAACAUAGGGAGGCUUUACAUGAGGGGGAUGGGGUGGUUUUGAUGGUGGUUUGGGAACAUAGGGAGGCUUUACAUGAGGAGGAAGAGGUGGUUUUGAUGGUGGUUUGGGAACAGAGGGAGGCUUUACAUGAGGGGGAUGAGGUGGGUGUUUAGGUGGUUUAGGGAUGAAGGGUGGCUUUACAUGAGGAGGCUGUUUGGGUGGCAAGUGUGGAGGGUAUGUUGGUGGUGGACAGUAGGAGUUAGCAAGAGAAGUGAGCAAACUACCCAAAUUCACAAUGAGGACUAAGAGCAAAGCCAGGGUAUAAUUCCCCAUGUUCAAAACUCCACAACCCUCAAAAGAGUUGGGUUGUUUAAGACCGGAUAUUGAAACCCAACACCAUGCAAAAGCCUUCUUAUAGAGAUAUGGUGAGACAAGUUGUGAGUGAGUAUGUACAUAAGAGAGAGAGAGAGAGAGAGAGAGAGAGAGAGAGAGAGAGAGAACACAAUCCUGUACCUUUCUUUGUGGUACCAACUAAAGAUAUAUAAAACUAUUAAUCUCUGUGCAUAAUUAAUUAAUUUGUCAAAUUGCCAAGAUGCACAUUGAAUUGAGGUCUCUCCAAACUCCAAACUUCAACUUGAUCAGUAUCAAAUUCACCACAAACAAAAGGGAGGAAUUGAGUCACUUUCUUCCUUUACAUUCAGAACCAAGUAGGGCACUGCAAUCACUGACUUAAACUGUAGACAAAAGUAUUCAGCUUUUAAGGAGAAAAGGAUCAAGAAAACGCGGUUUUGUGAUAGAGGCAAGUUUUAACAUGUAGUGAGAGCCUUGCAAGUGACUAUUCAACCCGUGAUUGAGGUUUUGAUGCCAAGCCACAUGUGAGGCUUUCAUUGACAACAUUUUCUUGCAUUAAAAAAUUCUAAGGGUACAAAAGAGGCCUUAGACUUUUUCUACUUAAAGCACAUGGUUUUUCCUUUUUUCAUUUUUUGGGGGUUUUCUCCCGAAUAGACGAGUCCAUUAAUGCUACAAUGUUUUAGUCUAAGAAAUAUUCCUAUAUGAAUAGACCGUACAAUUGUAUUUGAGUGUCGGUUAUCUUAAUUUAUUAUUUUUUAUAUAAACGAUAUUGUAUUUUAAUUUAAUCCAUACUAUAAAAAGAAUUAUUUAAAUUUAGAUACAAAAUAAAGAACACAUUUGUUCUAACUAACUUAAUUAAUCCUAUGUGUGCAAUUAUUUUUUACAAUUAAACAACUCGAUUUGAUGUAGGAAUUUUCCUUGUACAAUUUAACUUGCUCGCUUUGCAAUUUCAUUUCAAAAAAGUAUAUGCAUGGCCUAGCCAUCAUGUCUUUCAAAUCAACAGCUCAUCAUAGGGCAUCUUUUUAAAAUGAGGGUAAUGCUGGCUUCACAUGCAGCUGCACAAUAAUUUCAAGAAUUAUUAAUCGUACCUAGCAUUGUUAGCAAGACAUUUAGGGCUGUAAUUAUGUGAAAAGUGAUGUUCGCCGAAUCAAUUAUAUAAGGAGAACUUACUGCAAAACAACUCUGUGUGGAACCCAUCUACUUGUUCUUUGUUUUUUUUAGGUCUGAAGUCCAUCUACUUGUUCACUCCACGCCAUUGAAGUGUAGUCUAUCUAAAAUGGUAAGGGUGCCCUAGUUUAGGCGUAAGUACUAUGUGCAGGGUUUUGGGUUUUUCUUUGUAGACAAAAACCUAGAAGUAUCAUAUCUACAUUGUUCUGACUAUUAAAAAAUUAGACAAAGGGGUAAUGAUUAUGCCAAAAUGAAUUUCAACAUCACUUUCGACCGACAAAAUUUCAUUUGCUUAUAUCGAAGCUCGUAUUGAAAUUUAUUAAUUUUAACAAAGUUAGAAUAUGUCAUCUGUCACGUAAUUUGGUGAAUAAAUUUUAUCUUUCGGUGCCUCUACAAUAUUAAAGCAUCAAAUAGUGCAAAUCAUGACAUCUUAUUUCAACGUUCAUUAACAGACCUUCAUACAAUCAAGGCAUCGGAUGCAAGUAGGGUGGUAGAUUUUUUCCCCUUUUCAACCCAAUAAUAUGAGUUAAAACAAUUAUAUGUGGAACACAAUAACACCGCUUUAAUAAUUCUAUCUAAAAGGGUAUAUGCGACAGCUGGCCAAGAGGUAUAUUCCAUGUACACAAAAUGUUACUUUCAACUACAUGCCAAUAUUUCUACAGCGAAAAUUCCAAAUCAACAUGCAAAGGGAAAAUGAAAUGGGAUGUACUUGCUGUAGUGCCUGUUUGGAUAGAAAGAAAGGAAAAGAAAAGAAAAGAAAAUUCAUUUCUUGGAGAAACCAGAAAUUGAGUUUUUCGUCCUUAUUUUCGAAGUGUCGCAAUCAAGUUUUUUUGAUAUAUUGAUGAGUCAUCCAUUGUAGAAGAAAUGGCAUCCAUCAAAACCUGCCACCAUUAAAAUCCAUGCAAAUCCACUUGUUACAAUUAUAUGAAGUCACUUGUGCAAAGCGACAUAUGAAUUUAAAGGGCGAUAAAGCCGAUGUAAUAUAUGUAGGGUCAGGCUGAGACUACUUUGUCUCCAAAUCUUUAACCAAAUCUAAUUUAACACUAAUUAUUAUUGCUCACUACAUCAAGUAAGAAAGAUUAAUAGUAUUUUUCGGUGUGAAUGCAUAAACGUAUCUGUGGAUUCUUAUUAUUUCGAUGUGAGCUUACAGCUUAGCAUAUUAACCUCACUUCAUAUAAAAAUUAUCUCCAAUCCUGAGGUCUAACUUUAUAAAAAAAAAUGAAAAUGACUUUGUAGGUCCAAAUCAAAAUGCAACGUGCCGACAAACACGGACUUAGUCAAGUUGGUUAAAGUGAAUGUGCUAUUCUCACUUUGCAUUCGAUUUCAAAUUCCCCUCCUUAUGAUUUAGAUUAGAUCUAAGUAAAACAUUGCUUAUAUAUAAAAGCAAUAUGCAGCUGUAUGCAGAAGAUUUGGUUGAAUAAUUGCUCUAUAUAAAAUAAUAGGUAAAGUACCUUGAUUAUCUUUUUUCCAACAACCCUGUUCCCUAUAUCUGCCCAUUGUUUAUAUCAUAAUCAAUCAAUUAAUUGAUUAACAACACCAAAUUCUUGAUACCUUCAGCAAAGACACGAUAUUUUCUACCCAAUUUAGUUUGUCGUUUGAAGAAAAAGAAGAAGGAAAAAAAAAACAUUUAGUUUGUCAGAUCAUAUCUUAUAGCAUGAGUGUUAUAUUUAAAACUAUAUAAGAAGGGGCAAAAUUUGGACAUACUUGGAUCAACUGUAACAAUCAUGGCAGUCCCUCCAAAAUCACAAGUGCCACCGGCAGCCCUGGUGCUCUGCCAGUAGCUGUUGAAGGCGUACGAAGCGUGGGACAACAAUGUGUCUGGUUUAUAGCAGGACCCAUUGGGCUGGAUUGACUUGCAGUCUGCACCAGACCCACACGCAUAGUCCAGGGCCUCUUGGACUAUUGGGCCAGGCACGGCUGGCUUGGCCACACACCACACCGCGCCAGACUGUGGUGGCUUUUUUCGUGGAGGGCUUGUGGGCCCUGAUGGUGGAGGGUAAGCUACAGGUGGGGCCAAGGCUGGUGGGCCUGGGAUAGGCUUGGGUGGGGAUGGAGGAUUUUUGGGUGGGCCUGGAAUUGUGGUGGGUGGGCCAGGUGGGUGAGGGGUGGGCCCAUUUGCAGGUGGUGGUUUUG
rnacentral:lncRNA from 1 species